UUUAAAAUAAAUAAAUAAACAUAUGUUUUUUUAUAAGGGGCUAACUAGAGAAUGUUUGAAGCUGAGGGGGUGGACUAGAUUAAAAUCCUAAGCUAAGGAAGAAGAAGGUUUUGAUGUUAGU
rnacentral:sRNA from 1 species